CAGCCGCCGCGGUAAUUCGGAGGGUGCGAGCGUUAAUCGGAAUUACUGGGCGUGAAGCGCGCGUAGGCGGUUUGGUCAGUCGAUUGUGAAAGCCCUGGGCUUAACCUGGGAAUUGCAGUCGAUACUGCCUGACUAGAAUGUGGAAGAGGGAAGUGGAAUUUCCGGUGUAGCGGUGAAAUGCGUAGAUAUCGGAAGGAACACCAGUGGCGAAGGCGGCUUCCUGGUCCAACAUUGACGCUGAGGUGCGAAAGCGUGGGGAGCGAACAGGAUUAGAUACCAUGGUAGUCCACGCCGUAAACGAUGAGAACUAGAUGUCGGGAGGGUUUAGCCUCUCGGUGUCGCAGCUAACGCGUUAAGUUCUCCGCCUGGGGAGUACGCCGGCAACGGUAAAACUUAAAGGAAUUGACGG
rnacentral:rRNA from 1 species